AGCAAGCACGCCCUCUAGGGAAACAGCACCACGGUAAUCCUGAAUUGUAGAUAGAAUGCAAGUCAUUUCAUAUUUCCGUAGAUUUAAGUAAGUAUAUGAUUAUUUGUGAAAUGGUAGAACCCUACAGUAGAAGAACAACAAAUAGCAGUCAUUCAAUUGUAUCAGUCUCAUGUAUUAGAUCAACCCCAUGGUAUUCAGAGUCGAAUGAUACUGUCAAGCGAAUGACAUACUUGAAAUUAAACAAGAAUAUCCCCCGUUUCUACAAAACAAUCAUAGGAAGUAAUAGAAAAUUACCAAUAAAUUCAUAUACUAAACUAACAUGAGCUUGAAAGAGAGAUCCAGGGUUGUAGUUUGACGAUUCAUCUGGUCAAAUGUAUGACGAUUCAUCUGGUCAAGGGUAUGUUCAGAGGUAUUUAAGUCUAUUAAGCUACUGGAUAGUAUUUUAGUAUGAUCUUUGGGUGCUUCUUUUCUCUUAUUAGAUAGAUCACUUCAGUUUCGCAAUUUCUCUUGACAUUCCAAUAAUUGCCCUACUAAUAUUUCCAGUCUGUUGCACUCUAUAUGCAUAGUGACUUGAUUUUUCCACAUUUGUGCCUGCAAAAUCUGGUGCAAAUCAUUCAAAAUGAGAUUUGACGAGGAUAGGCUUCCUCCGCUAUUUUAGAUACAACAUUUAUAAAUGAUGCUACAUGUUCUGCUACUAAUAAUAUAGCAUAUGAAAAUAAAUGUUGCACUUUGAAAGCUACACAGGCAGAGCACUACUACUUGUGUAGACUAAUCUUUUUUUCCUUAUCGAUAGCUACCACUUGCUUACAUGAAGCUAUAACUGUGUGUUUGCUCCCAAGACUGAGACAAGAGAAACUAGCUCUUGAGAUUUUAUACUGCUUGUAUUCUCCAUGAAUUUUGAUUACAAACCAGAGAGGAGGUAGAAGGGAACAAGCAUUUUGUUAACUCUUUGCUAGCAACUAUAUUGUUUUCAGAUCUGUUUGCCCAUAGGAUGUUCUUAAGAUGAAUACUCUGUAUCGACUGAACCAUGUAAUUUUUUCAAGUAGGUUUACAAUAAUAAUGUUAGACUAAUUUUGGUUUGUUCUAGGUUUAUGUGGCAGGAUGGUCCUGAUGAACACGCUGAAGAAACACGCUUGCCUCUCCACCAGGAAAACACUUUGUAGAGAUAGUGGAGGCCUGGAAACAAUGGAAAAUACGAAACAAGUCCUACUUACAUGAUCUAGGUUGACAGAGUGAUCGUAGACCUCAAACAGUUUGAGUGCAGAAUUCGUCCUGAGCACACAAAGGCGUCCUCAUUGUUAUUCACUGCUACUUGCACUUGUAAUAUCUGUUUUCGUACCUUUUUGUGCUCGGCCAAAAUGGCAUAAGCCUCUGUACAUAUGCCAUGCAAAUAAUUCUGCUGCUGUAAUUCCAAUUUUUUUUUGCCUGUCAUGGUAGUGCCCAACUCAUAUAUGUAUAUGUGUUGCUGAAAAUGUAUCCCUUGGUUAAGUCAGUUCACAGUUUGGUGCGAGCUAAACCAAGAACCCAGAACGCACCAUCAAAACAAUUUGUCUCAGUCGAUGCUUAGCGCAAAAUUAAAAAGUUUGUUUCUCUGGUUAUAAUUUAUGGUGAUUUGCUAUGUUUCGUGAAACCUAAAAAGAUUUAUUAUCACUUUCCUACCUAUGAAUCUGUUUUACGGGGUCGUGCGCCAAGGCGCACAUUUAAAUCUAGUCUAAAGGUAUAAACGGUGCACCCUCAUGGAGCCUUUUGGGACUAUCCACGAUAGGCAUGUGUCACGCGAGGGCAGGGCGCUUGCCUCGUUUCUCCUACAGCGAUUGGUCCACAUGGCGCUGUGUGCUUGGCCGCUGCUUGAUCGUGCGUGAGACAAAAACCCAAGCCAAGCCCUAGCACAAUAUUCCCCAAUCCCCGCAGCCGCCGUCCGCCGUGCUUCUUCCGCUCGACGAGCUCGCCCUCCUCCUCCAUCCCGCAGCGCCCCCUUCUGUCUCGUCGCCGCUGGCCCAGCCGCCACACGCCGCUCCAUCUUCUCCCCCAUGCCACUCGUCGGAGGUGGAGCAGAAGCCGCCUUCGUCCACGCCCUUAUCGUGUAGACGCGCAGCGCCCGCGCGGGAAGGAGGCAGGGCCAUGGGCCAUGGCGGGGAGGGACGAAGAGAUGCAGGAAUCGGCUGCCGGAGCUCCGCCACGUCCCUCACUCUCCCCGAGCUCACGCUGCCACGUCCGCCAUGGAGGAUUACGCGGAGAAGUGGAGGAAUAAUCAGGGGGAACGAUGCGGGGGAUCGGACAGGAGGUUGGUCUGCCGGUUGCGCUGCUGCUACUGCUGCUCUUCAACCUGGUGUUCCCUCACCAAUAUCCAGGAUGAUGUGAUGUUUCUCAUGAACCAAUUUGUUGUACUGAUUAA